GACGAACGCUGGCGGCGUGCUUAACACAUGCAAGUCGAACGGAAAGGCCCUGCUUUUGUGGGGUGCUCGAGUGGCGAACGGGUGAGUAACACGUGAGUAACCUGCCCUUGACUUUGGGAUAACUUCAGGAAACUGGGGCUAAUACUGGAUAGGAGCUCCUGCUGCAUGGUGGUGGUUGGAAAGUUUCGGCGGUUGGGGAUGGACUCGCGGCUUAUCAGCUUGUUGGUGGGGUAGUGGCUUACCAAGGCUUUGACGGGUAGCCGGCCUGAGAGGGUGACCGGCCACAUGGGGACUGAGAUACGGACCAGAAGCCUACGGGAGGCAGCAGGGGGGAAUAUUGCACAAUGGGCGGAAGCCUGAUGCAGCAACGCCGCGUGCGGGAUGACGGCCUUCGGGUUGUAAACCGCUUUCGCCUGUGACGAAGCGUGAGUGACGGUAAUGGGUAAAGAAGCACCGGCUAACUACGUG
rnacentral:rRNA from 1 species